AGUCAGGAAGAAAAGAGAUCUAGGAAUAUUAAAGAGACGAUUCCAUAUUGAUUGAGUGGGUGUAGCUAAUAAAUUUUAAUUAAUGAAAUGGAGGAAAAGUGACAGCAAAAAGGUGUCAGCUACAGGUAUAAUAGCUACAAUUUCAUAGCAUUAGUUGCUGGCUAUGUCGUGUGGAUACUUCGAUCAUUAAGCCAAUGGUAAGCUAUCUUUUUUGGGCAAAGACUAUCCAGGUUCAAUUCCUGGGUGAUCACCUCUCUUGUCCACUGACGCAAUCCAGCAUUU